GAUGAACGCUAGCGAUAGGCUUAACACAUGCAAGUCGAGGGGCAGCAUGGUCUUAGCUUGCUAAGACUGAUGGCGACCGGCGCACGGGUGCGUAACGCGUAUGCAACUUGCCUCACAGAGGGGGAUAACCCGUCGAAAGACGGACUAAUACCGCGUACACUUGGGAUAGGGCAUCCUGCCCCAAGGAAAUGAAUUUCGCUGUGAGAUAGGCAUGCGUCCCAUUAGCUAGUUGGUGAGGUAACGGCUCACCAAGGCGACGAUGGGUAGGGGAACUGAGAGGUUGAACCCCCACACUGGUACUGAGACACGGACCAGACUCCUACGGGAGGCAGCAGUGAGGAAUAUUGGUCAAUGGGCGAGAGCCUGAACCAGCCAAGUCGCGUGAAGGAUGACUGUCUUAUGGAUUGUAAACUUCUUUUAUACGGGAAUAACAAGAGCCACGUGUGGCUCCCUGCAUGUACCGGAUGAAUAAGCAUCGGCUAACUCCGUG
rnacentral:rRNA from 1 species